UACGUAGGGUGCAAGCGUUGUUCGGAAUUAUUGGGCGUAAAGAGUUCGUAGGCGGUCUGUCGCGUCUGCUGUGAAAACUCAGGGCUUAACCCUGAGCUUGCAGUGGGUACGGGCAGACUAGAGUGCGGUAGGGGAGACUGGAAUUCCUGGUGUAGCGGUGAAAUGCGCAGAUAUCAGGAGGAACACCGGUGGCGAAGGCGGGUCUCUGGGCCGUAACUGACGCUGAGGAGCGAAAGCAUGGGGAGCGAACAGG
rnacentral:rRNA from 1 species